AAUUAAAGGAUGGCGACUCUGCUGCUAGUGGGCCCCAGAUUAUCCCCUGCCGAGCAGGGACUAGAAGAGUUUCAAGACCUACUCAGCACGGAGCACUAGGAAAUGCUACCUAGAGGAGAAGCUACAUGGAGACUUCCAGAAGAGUUGAGCUCCUUCCUGACAAGGUUGGAACACGCGGUGGAGGGCAAAGCACUUCUCAGGGAAUCACCAGGGAUCCCUGCAAAACGCUUUCCAGAGACCCCACUGAAGAGCUGCACCAACCUCACUUGCUGCCAGAAACCUGCCUGGGGUUGGAGCACUGUGGUGACCCCGCAGGGCCGCAAACUCAGAGCCAGUUGCUCAUUUCUAGGUUCAAUGGUGACUUUUCUCCCUCCCGGUGGAUCUGCAAGGAUAAAAUAAAAAAUAUAUGAAAAUA